GUUCAUAGUUUCAACCUUUCGGUCAUUAAACAUUCUAGAUUAUAAGAAAAGGGUUUGUAAUAGGGAUUCGAUCCCCCAAAGGUGCACAAGUGUUGAAUAAGGACUAAGGCAGCGUGCACACCACGAAUAGCAGCACAGCAAACCCAUUUUCAUUAAUGAUCCUUCCGCAGGUUCACCUACGGAAA
rnacentral:misc_RNA from 1 species